rnacentral:rRNA from 1 species
UACGUAGGGUGCGAGCGUUGUCCGGAAUUAUUGGGCGUAAAGAGCUCGUAGGCGGCUUGUCGCGUCGACUGUGAAAACCCGCGGCUUAACUGCGGGACUGCAGUCGAUACGGGCAGGCUAGAGUUCGGUAGGGGAGACUGGAAUUACUGGUGUAGCGGUGAAAUGCGCAGAUAUCAGGAGGAACACCGGUGGCGAAGGCGGGUCUCUGGGCCGACACUGACGCUGAGGAGCGAAAGCGUGGGGAGCGAACAGG